rnacentral:rRNA from 1 species
AUCAAUAAGCGGAGGAAAAGAAACCAACAGGGAUUGCCCUAGUAACGGCGAGUGAAGCGGCAACAGCUCAAAUUUGAAAUCUGGCUUCGGCCCGAGUUGUAAUUUGCAGAGGAUGUUUAUGGUGCGGUACCUUCCGAGUUCCCUGGAACGGGACGCCACAGAGGGUGAGAGCCCCGUCUGGUUGGAUACCAAACCUGUGUUAAACUCCUUCAACGAGUCGAGUAGUUUGGGAAUGCUGCUCUAAAUGGGAGGUAAAUCUCUUCUAAAGCUAAAUACCGGCCAGAGACCGAUAGCGCACAAGUAGAGUGAUCGAAAGAUGAAAAGCACCUUGAAAAGGGGGUUAAACAGUACGUGAAAUUGUUAAAAGGGAAGCGUUUAUGACCAGACUUGUGUCGUGUGGCUCAUCCGAGGUUCUCCCCGGUGCACUCCACACGGCUCAGGCCAACAUCGGUUUUCGUUGGGGGAUAAGAACAGCAGGAACGUGGCCCUUCUCGGAGGGUGUUAUAGCCUGCUGUACGAUACCCUGAUGGGGACCGAGGACCGCGCUUCGGCUAGGAUGUUGGCGUAAUGGUCAUUAGCGACCCGUCUUGAAACACGGACCAAGGAGUCGUCCAUUAGAGCGAGCGUUUGGGUGUAAAACCCGCACGCGUAAUGAAAGUGAAAUUAGGUGAGAGCUUCGGCGCAUCAUCGACCGAUCCUGAAGUUUACGGAAGGAUUUGAGUAAGAGUUUUAACGGACGGACCCGAAAGACAGUGAACUAUGCUUGAAUAGGGUGAAGCCAGAGGAAACUCUGGUGGAGGCUCGCAGCGGUUCUGACGUGCAAAUCGAUCGUCAAAUUUGAGCAUGGGGGCGAAAGACUAAUCGAACUGUCUAGUAGCUGGUUACCGCCGAGU